rnacentral:rRNA from 1 species
GACGAACGCUGGCGGCGUGCCUAACACAUGCAAGUCGUGCGAGAAAGUUCCUUCGGGAGCGAGUAAAGCGGCGCACGGGUGAGUAACACGUAGGUAACCUGCCCCCCAGUCUGGAACAACUAGAGGAAACUCUAGCUAAUGCCGGAUGAGACCACGAUCCCUUCGGGGGUUGCGGCCAAAGAUGGCCUCUACUUGUAAGCUAUCGCUGAGGGAUGGGCCUGCGGGCCAUUAGCUUGUUGGUGAGGUAACGGCUCACCAAGGCUGUGAUGGCUAGCUGGUCUGAGAGGAUGACCAGCCACACUGGGACUGAGACACGGCCCAGACUCCUACGGAGGCAGCAGUGGGAAUAUUGCGCAAUGGGCGAAGCCUGACGCAGCGACGCCGCGU